GACGUAGGGGGCGAGCGUUGUCCGGAUUUAUUGGGCGUAAAGAGCUCGUAGGCGGUCUGUCGCGUCUGCUGUGAAAACUCAGGGCUUAACCCUGAGCUUGCAGUGGGUACGGGCAGACUAGAGUGCGGUAGGGGAGACUGGAAUUCCUGGUGUAGCGGUGAAAUGCGCAGAUAUCAGGAGGGAACACCGGUGGGCGAAGGCGGGUCUCUGGGCCGGUAACUGAC
rnacentral:rRNA from 1 species